AUUGAACGCUGGCGGCAGGCCUAACACAUGCAAGUCGAACGAGUGGCGGACGGGUGAGUAAUGCCUGGGAAACUGGCUGAUGGAGGGGGAUAACUACUGGAAACGGUAGCUAAUACCGCGUACCAUCAGAUGAGCCCAGAUGGGAUUAGGUAGUUGGUGGGGUAAAGGCUCACCAAGGCGACGAUCCCUAGCUGGUCUGAGAGGAUGACCAGCCACACUGGGACUGAGACACGGCCCAGACUCCUACGGGAGGCAGCAGUGGGGAAUAUUGCGCAAUGGGCGCAACCCUGACGCAGCCAUGCCGCGUGAAUGAAGAAGGCCUUCGGGUUGUAAAGUACUUUCGGUAGCGAGGCGUUACCUACAGAAGAAGCACCGGCUAACUCCGUGCCAGCAGCCGCGGUAAUUC
rnacentral:rRNA from 1 species